AGGAUGAACGCUAGCGGCAGGCUUAACACAUGCAAGUCGAGGGGCAUCGGGAGUAGCAAUACUUGCCGGCGACCGGCGCAAGGGUGCGUAACGCGUGAGCAACAUGCCCGUAUCAGGGGGAUAAUCCAUGGAAACGUGGUCUAAUACCCCAUAGUAAUUAUGUAAGGCAUCUUAUAUAAUUUAAAGCUUUGGUGGAUACGGAUUGGCUCGCGUGACAUUAGCUAGAUGGUAAGGUAACGGCUUACCAUGGCUACGAUGUCUAGGGGUUCUGAGAGGAAGGUCCCCCACACUGGAACUGAGACACGGUCCAGACUCCUACGGGAGGCAGCAGUGAGGAAUAUUGGACAAUGGAUGGAAAUCUGAUCCAGCCAUGCCGCGUGCAAGGAAGACGGCCCUAUGGGUUGUAAACUGCUUUUGUAUGGGAGCAAUAAGGGCUACGCGUAGUCCGAUGAGAGUACCAUACGAAUAAGCACCGGCUAACUCCGUGCCAGCCGCCGC
rnacentral:rRNA from 1 species